CCAAAUAACUACGAGCAAUGCUUAAAACCCAAAGGAUUUGACGGUGUCCCACCCACCUAGAGGAGCCUGUUCUUUAAUCGAUAAUCCCCGCUAUACCUAACCACUCCUAGCCUUUCAGUCUGUAUACCUCCGUCGAAAGCCUACCAUGUGAACGUUUUAGUAAGCUAAAUGACCCCAUCAAUACGUCAGGUCAAGGUGCAGCUCACGGAGUGGGAAGUAAUGGGCUACAAUUUCUAAUAUAGAACAAACGAAAUACUGCAUGAAACUGCAGUCAUGAAGGCGGAUUUAGAAGUAAAAAGAAAAUAGAGAGUUCUUUUUAAUCCGGCUCUGGGACGCGUACACACCGCCCGUCACCCUCUUCAAUAAUAAUUUUUAAGUUCUUAACCAUUUAUUCUCUACUAGAAGAGGCAAGUGUAACAAGGUAAG
rnacentral:rRNA from 1 species